rnacentral:sRNA from 1 species
AAUAGUAAUGUCUAUUUCAGUUUGAAAGAGAAAUUAAAUAUCUUGCAAUUAUCUACUGGAUAAUUGGUUUACUGGAAUUUGGCUAUGUCUUCUGGAAAAUUUAUGAUGUUUCUUUCUAUGUGACCAAGUUUGCUGGUCUUGCUGGUGCCACCCUGACCUGUAUAGUUGCUGAUAUCUUGAUGCGAACCUUUCUACUGAUUGGCUCAUAUUUUGUGUAUAGAAACUUUGGUAAAGGAUUGAAAGACAGAAAAGCUGGAUCCUCCACUUUUCAGAACAACAGUGCCAUAGAAACUAAUUCUUAAAAGAUUACAAGGUGUCUAUAAAGAAAUCUCAACUUGCUGUGGACAUAAAGACGUUUCAGUUUAGAUUUAUCCUCAACUAUUUCUCUAUACGUUUAGUUGUCAAUACAACAAAACGUACCACCAAUAUAUAUAUAAAGUCAGAGAGAUACAUGGAACAUUGGUGUUAAAUUAUUUUUUAAGUUUAGUUUUUUUUAAUUAAUCAUUUUUAAUUCUUAAAAAAUGUGUAAGUCCAAA